rnacentral:lncRNA from 1 species
CCCUUCAGGCUGAUCCUGGAAUCCCACAGAUCAAGCGUGUGGAACUGAACUCCAGGGCUGCCUUCUGCCUUUGAAGAUGUUGUAACUCAUUUUAUUUAUUUUAUUUAUAUGAGCACACUGUAGCUGUCUUUAGACACACCAGAAGAGGGCAUCGGAUCCCAUUACAGAUGGUUGUGAGCCACCAUGUGGUUGCUGGGAAUUGAACUCAGGACAUCUGGAAGAGCAAGCAACCAGGGCUCUUAACCGCUGAGUCAUCUCUCCAGCCUGGAUAUGUCCUUUGUGUCUUAAGUCCCUGAAUAUACAGCAAACACAG